AGCUUUGCGCAGUGGCAGUAUUGUAGUCAAUGAGGUUAAUCCGAGGCGUGAUUAUUGCUAAUUGAAAACUUUUUCCAAUACCCUACCAUGAUGACUUGCAAUAUAGUCAGCAAUGGCAAUUUUUGACAGUUUCUAAGGAGA
rnacentral:snRNA from 1 species